rnacentral:piRNA from 1 species
CGGACAGCACACAAACAACCAGAG